AGUGAACGCUGGCGGUAGGCCUAACACAUGCAAGUCGAACGGCAGCACAGUAAGAGCUUGCUCUUACGGGUGGCGAGUGGCGGACGGGUGAGGAAUACAUCGGAAUCUACUUUUUCGUGGGGGAUAACGUAGGGAAACUUACUCUAAUACCGCAUACGACCUACGGGUGAAAGCAGAGGAUCUUCGGACCUUGCGCGAUUGAAUGAGCCGAUGUCGGAUUAGCUAGUUGGCGGGGUAAAGGCCCACCAAGGCGACGAUCCGUAGCUGGUCUGAGAGGAUGAUCGGCCACACUGGAACUGAGACACGGUCCAGACUCCUACGGGAGGCAGCAGUGGGGAAUAUUGGACAAUGGGCGCAAGCCUGAUCCAGCCAUACCGCGUGGGUGAAGAAGGCCUUCGGGUUGUAAAGCCCUUUUGUUGGGAAAGAAAAGCAGCAGGUUAAUACCCCGCUGUUCUGACGGUACCCAAAGAAUAAGCACCGGCUAACUUCGUG
rnacentral:rRNA from 1 species